rnacentral:rRNA from 1 species
GACGAACGCUGGCGGCGUGCUUAACACAUGCAAGUCGAACGGUGAAGCGCCUUCCUUUUUGGUGGGUGUGGAUGAGUGGCGAACGGGUGAGUAACACGUGAGUAACCUGCCCCCUUCUUCUGGAUAACCGCAUGAAAGUGUGGCUAAUACGGGAUAUUCUGGGUCUGUCGCAUGAUGGGUCUGGGAAAGAUAUUGUUUCGGUGGGGGAUGGGCUCGCGGCCUACCAGCUUGUUGGUGGGGUGAUGGCCUACCAAGGCGGUGACGGGUAGCCGGCCUGAGAGGGUGGACGGUCACACUGGGACUGAGACACGGCCCAGACUCCGACGGGAGGCAGCAGUGGGGAAUAUUGCACAAUGGGCGCAAGCCUGAUGCAGCGACGCCGCGGGAGGGAUGGAGGCCUGCGGGUUGUGAACCUCUUUCGCCAGUGAAGCAGGCCUGCCUCGUUUGUGGGUGGGUUGACGGUAGCUGGAUAAGAAGCGCCGGCUAACUACGUG